UACAGAGGGUGCGAGCGUUAAUCGGAAUUACUGGGCGUAAAGCGUGCGUAGACGGCUAUCUAAGUCGGGUGUGAAAGCCCCGGGCUCAACCUGGGAAUUGCAUUCGAGACUGAAUAGCUAGGGUACGGUAGAGGGAAGCGGAAUUUCCGGUGUAGCGGUGAAAUGCGUAGAUAUCGGAAGGAACAUCAGUGGCGAAAGGCGGCUUCCUGGACCAGUACCGACGUCAGCACGAAGCGUGGGAGCAAAGCAG
rnacentral:rRNA from 1 species